UAAAGGGUGCUUUUAUAGAUUUAAAAUUUGAUUAUGGUUUUAGAAUUGUUAAAAUAAUAUUAUUUAAGUUUAAUUUAUUUAGUGGGCAAUAAAUUUUUACCCCGGUAAUUAAUUGUUUGUAUAAUACUUGUUCCAGAAUAAUCGGCUAGGCUUGUUAAAUUUAAACUUUAUUUUGUUUUAAUUAUAGUAGUAAAAGUUUGAGUUUUAAUAAUUUUAGGUUAAAUUUUAAUUAAUUUUUGGUUUUUACUAUAAUUGUAAGUUUUGUAAAACGAAUUAGAUUAGUACCUAAUUAGUCAAAAGUUAAAAGAGCAGAAGUAAAGUUGUAUUUAAACUGAAAGAAUAUUGGCAGAUUUCUAAAUUAUCUUUGGAGGUUGAGUAAUAAUUGAGAACCCUCAUUAACUACUUUUGUUUUAGUCUCAUGUAUGAUCGUUUAUUUUAUGCUUAAGGUAUAUAAUUUUAAUUUUUUGAUUUGUAAAAAUAGAUAUAUAUUUGGUUUAUACAAGAGUAAAAUUUGACCUACAAUAUUGUAGAUUUUGGAUUUAUUUUGUAGUAAAAUAAUGAAAAUGUAAAAGACAGUAAAAAAGUUUUUAUGAUUUUUUGAAGAUUAUUUAGAUGUGGUACAAAUCAUCCAUCAAUUGCCCAAAGGGGAGUAAGUUGUAGUAAAGUAGAUUUAGGGGAACCUAAAUCUAGUAA
rnacentral:ncRNA from 1 species